AACUGGUCAUACUCAUACCACGUUACGAAAGACUGCCUUGCCAAGCGAAAGUGAGCUCUGAUCAAGAACAAAAGCGAAGUCGGGAAGCCGGAAGCAAAUCCGCGCUCUGGUUCGAUCCCAUCCCGUUUCCUAGUUGCAUUCCUAAACCGUACCCGCUGGCGGAGUUCUCGCAAGAAAUGCUGGAGGACUCCGGUUACUGGAGAGGUCUUGUGUCUACGGCUGUUUCGUCUGGAGCUGGGGAUCGGAUUCCAGUUCAUGUUGCUGUAGGACGGCACAGAUCGUUCGCUGGGAAGAAUGGCGAGAGUGGAACUGGAGCUCAUGAUGCCGGGGUUCAUGUGGUUCGUCCUGACUUUCGGUCGCUUCUCUAGGGUUCUCUCCAACAUGGAAGAACCUUCACCUGCAUGCCUUGUGUUCACCCAACAGACCUCACUCUCCACUCUUUGAAGGCGAGGGCCUCUCAAAUCUCAAUUCAUCAGUGCCUCUCCGGCAUGCUAGCAGUUUCAACAAAUUUCUCAUGUCUAUUUGGCUUCCUAGAUCUGCAUACAAGAUAUAUUCCAAGCCGAUAUACUUAGUGAAUUAAUUGCUCACUAUUCCACCUCCUCAGUGUAGAGUCCUCAUUGACUAGUAACCAGUCCAAGUCCUAUGGAAUUUUUCAUCCGCUAUUGGGGUAAAUCGGGAAGCGUGUACGGCGGACGGCCCAGAGCUCAUCAUCUAUUGAUUGCGCGUCCCAUUUGGAAGAAAAAUUUCUACAAAUACAUCAUAGUUGGAGAUUGAACCGCAGAUAUUUGGAUGAUAAUCUGGAUGCCCUGCCGCGACACCAUAACUCUAAGGACUUGGCAGGUGGAUGCAAAGCUCCAUGCGGAACAAAAGCCGCAACCAAAAUCUGGCCUUGGGGAAAAAGUGACAGAGAAUAGCUAGUGGAUUCAACACUAGAAGUGAUGGAAAGGAACCGAUGAAAUGAAGGACUUGUCGGCAAUCCCUCCAUUUGCUUGAUAUAACUUGCAACUGAAAACAAACAACACUUGUGGAUCCCUCUCACUUCCUGGACAACCUAAUUUUCCACUUGUUGAUGGAGAUUUGAAGGCAUUGCAAUUACCAAAGAAGGUUCGAUGAAGCCCACAAAAAGAGCUUUUAAAAAGGAGGAACAGGAUUGCAUGCUUAAAGUAAUUGGCUUUACACGAAGGCUUAACUGGAAGAUGACUGUGGAUGCUUGGCCGCCCAAAACUGAUAACCUUUUUUAGCUGUUUCUUCUCCUGCACCAGAAACUUAAUCUGUGUGCAUGUAACCGAACUCUUCUUUGUUAUUAUUAUUAAAUCAGAGAUGGUUUUCCUAUUUAAUUAUUUCUUCCUUCUA